UACGUAGGGCGCAAGCGUUGUCCGGAAUUAUUGGGCGUAAAGAGCUCGUAGGCGGUUUGUCGCGUCUGCUGUGAAAACCCGAGGCUCAACCUCGGGCCUGCAGUGGGUACGGGCAGACUAGAGUGCGGUAGGGGAGAUUGGAAUUCCUGGUGUAGCGGUGGAAUGCGCAGAUAUCAGGAGGAACACCGGUGGCGAAGGCGGGUCUCUGGGCCGAUAUUGACGCUGAGGAGCGAAAGCGUGGGGAGCAAACAGG
rnacentral:rRNA from 1 species